UAUAUCCAAAAGUUCACAAGAAUUAAAUUAAUCUGAGCCAUUGAAUUAAUCUAAUGGCGCAUACCUCUCUGGUUCACCCUUCCUCUUCUCAACUACCGAACUCCUCCUGCACUCAGCGAACACUGCCAAAAAAGAAAAAAGAACAAAAAAAUCGCCAUGACGGCAAGACGGCGCCGAUUAGUACGUGUUCUUUAUAAGGCCUUCGACUUUGCCCCUCUGCUACAACGGCCUUCUCUAUAACCUUUUCUUUAGAAAAGGAUUUUUGUUUUUCCUCAACUGAUUUCAAAGGACCAAUUCCUUCCAGUGUCACUGCCAUGACCAACCUAAAACUACUGUAUUGCCUUCAGAACUCUUGCUCAAUUGUUUCUGCAUUUAUUUUUGUUGGAUAAUCUGGGAGAUGUAGUGUAAUUAUAUGCUUAUGUGCACCUACCUGAACCAUAAGUCCACAACAGUUUUGUUAGUUAUAUUUAUAUCCUUUUUAUCCACUAUCCUCCUAAUUUGUUGUUAUCCAUGUAAUUAUCGCUUCUCAUGUUAAACUUUUCUUUAAAGGACAAUGUUAGUUGUUAAUUUGUUAGCUUUUGUUAGUGAGAAGGAUUCGAACUCACGUGUA